rnacentral:rRNA from 1 species
GCUUACGGCCACACCACUCUGAACACGCCCGAUCUCGUCUGAUCUCGGAAGCUAAGCAGGGUCGGGCCUGGUCAGUACUUGGAUGGGAGACCGCCUGGGAAUACCAGGUGCUGUAAGCU